UGACGUGUGGCAUUGUGGUCUUGAGUGUUGGACUGCAACUCUGGAGACCAGGGUUCGAUUCCCAGCUCGGCCA
rnacentral:tRNA from 1 species